rnacentral:tRNA from 1 species
AGCUCAGUUGGUUACAGUGUGGUGUUAAUAACACCAAGGUUGUGGGUUCAAUCCCCAC